ACAAUUUCAAGAAACUGUUGCUCGUUCAAUUGAAGAAGCUUGUUGCCAACGGAAAGCUGGUCAAAGUCAAGAACUCCUUCAAGCUCCCUCCUAAAUCGUCCUCUUCUACUGCUGCCGCUGCCGCUGCCGCUAAGAAGCCGAAGCCUUCCUCUACAGCCGCCACUGCCGCCAAGAAGCCGAAACCUUCCUCUGCCGCCACCGCCGCGAAGAGGCCUAAAGCUAGCUCCACUGACGCUGCGGCUAAGCAGACGAAGACGAAGUCCAAGCCAAAAGCAAAAGAAGCGGCGGUGAAGUCGAUCAAGUCUCCUGCGAAGAAGGCGGU
rnacentral:lncRNA from 1 species